GAUGAACGCUGGCGGCGUGCCUAAUACAUGCAAGUCGAGCGGACAGACGAUGAGCUUGCUCCUCUGACGUUAGCGGCGUGCGUGUGAGUAACACGUCGUUAACCUACCUAUGGGACUGGGAUAACUUCCGGAUGCCGGAACUAAUACCGGAUAAUAUAUUGAUCCUCAUGGUUCAAUAGUUUAUUUCGGUUUUGCUGUCACUUAUAGCUUGUUCCGCGCCGCAUUAGCUAGUUGGUAAGGUAACGGCUUACGAAGGCAACGAUGCGUAGCCGACCUGAGAGGGUGAUCGGCCACACUGGAACUGAGACACGGUCCAGACUCCUACGGGAGGCAGCAGUAGGGAAUCUUCCGCAAUGGGCGAAAGCCUGACGGAGCAACGCCGCGUGAGUGAUGAAGGUCUUCGGAUCGUAAAACUCUGUUAUUAGGGAAGAACAAAUGUGUAAGUAACUAUGCACGUCUUGACGGUACCUAAUCAGAAAGCCACGGCUAACUACGUG
rnacentral:rRNA from 1 species